UCUGAUAUCAAAUGUGCUGCGGUAAAAAGAAGAGGCGUACACAUGGCCAGGAGUAAUUUGAGUUACCAGAGGAAGCAUGGACCUGUAACUGACAGAGUGAGGAUUGUGCUCCAGAAGUAAAACAUAGUUUCAAAGCAACAGACAGGGAUUCAUAAGGGGCAGAAAAACAGCUCUCCAAAGAUGUCUACAUGAAAAUCCUGACUCUGCGAAUGUAUUACUUUACACAGCAAAAGGAAUUUGGCAGCUGUGAUUUAAUCGAAGAUCAUGAGAUGGAAAGAUUAUUAUCUGUGUGCAUCUAACAUAAUCACAAAGGUCCUUUUAAUGUGAAAGAGGAAGACAGGAGAGUCAGAGGGUCAGAGAAGAUGUGAAUACAGAAGCAGAGGUCACAACGACGUGAGAAAGGCACAUCUGGCUUUGAAGAUAGAGGGGCGAUGUGCCGAGGAAUGCAGGAAGCCUAAAAAGCUGAAAUAAGCAAGAAGUGGAUUCUUUCCUGCUGCUGCCAGAAGGGACAUACCCCUGCAGACACCUUGAUUUUUGCCCCAUAAUACUCUUUUUAGAUUUCUG
rnacentral:lncRNA from 10 species